rnacentral:rRNA from 1 species
UACAGAGGUCUCAAGCGUUGUUCGGAUUUACUGGGCGUAAAGGGCGCGUAGGCGGCGCUUCAAGUCGCGUGUGAAAGCCCCGGGCUCAACCUGGGAGGUGCGCGCGAGACUGUGGUGCUGGAGUUCGGGAGAGGAGCGUGGAAUUCCCAGUGUAGAGGUGAAAUUCGUAGAUAUUGGGAAGAACACCGGUGGCGAAGGCGGCGCUCUGGACCGAGACUGACGCGUGAGG